ensembl:lncRNA
AUGGGUAAUUUUGAUGCUAAAAAUGAGAGGACCUUUAUUUUAUAAGAGUUCUAUGAAAUUGCUGGGAAACUUCCUGAUGUCACUGAACAAUUACAGAAACACUAUGGCGAGGGCAAUGUAUUUUUAGAUAGAAUUGACCGGUGUGGGUAUACAACUUGCUUCCAUCCAGUACACCGUUAUGAUAUAUAGCUAACCCACUAGUUUGGUGUGGUGUGUUGGCAUUUGGCAAGAACUUCGCGUGCUUUUGCUUUUCAUUUGCAUUUACCCCCAAUUUAGAUGAGCUCUAGCUGACAGGAGAUGCAUUUGUUGUCUAUGCUCUCUCUGUUAGUUAUGGGGCUUGCCACCACGACUGGCGACGGAGACCAUUGGGACAUAUUAUCCCUCCAGACCAAAGGUGUAUGCCCUGGCAAGUCUUUCAUCAAUCGAAGACCCACCGCAUUUAGUGUUUCUCAUUUAUAUUUUAAAUCCAGUGUACCUGGAAGCUCUGAAAUACUGGUGGCAAACAAGACUAUGGUACUUCACCCCUUUUAUCAAUUCAAAGACAAUGCAGUAUUCAUACCUGAGGUAAUGAAACAUCAUGAGGGAGAGUACUUCUGGAAAGAUCCUACCUUUCCCAUUAUGGUCAAAAGGAUCGAGCUCAUUGUCAAAGACUGCGCUGUCCCUCUGGAGGUGAAUUAUGGAGAGAAGGUUAGUCUAGUGGUGCCCAAGGAGGCUUCCAUGUUGGAGUUCACCACUCCUAAGUCAUCUGACCGCUGGGUUCUGUGGAGCCGGAUCAACACGGACAACACGAGGGGAGCCAGGGGGACGGUGGGAAGUGACCUCUGGGUUGCCCUCAAGAUCACCCAAGCGGACGCGGGCCGUUAUACUUUCCUGAGGGAGAGCGGGGGUGAAAUCUCCAGCACUGCGCUCUUAGUUAAAGAACUCCAGAGAUAUCCUGAUCUGAGCGACGAGUCCAUCCAUCACCACUGGGAAAACAGGUUCCCAGUUCCCGUAUCCGAGGCAGUGCUUACGUUUAUCGAUUCCGACAAAGUUAAGCACGUGCUCUUCAAGAAUGGCAUGGAGACCGAAGAGGCAUUCCGGAUGUUUGGGACUCGGAUAGAACUACAGGCGAUAGAGCUUGGUGAAUUGACGCUCACCAUUGUGGACUUGAACUCACGUGACACAGGACGAUACGAGGUCCACGACAAGAACAAAGACCUUGCUGUUGUAAUAUGGCUCUCUGGGAGCAGUGAUUCAGGUUAUCCAUCUCGAGAACUGGCUGUGCCCAUUGGCACUGCUAUUGUUAUCAGUAUAUUGGUGUUCUGUUGCUGCCGUGAGAUAAAGUGGUGUUGCAAAAAGAGCAAUGCCCCCGUUACUUCAGGCUCCGGACAGCCCGUCUAUGUCCAUGAUCCUGUACUGUCUGAACUAGGCUACCGCCUACAACCUCAGCCUACGGCUCCAAGUGCGGAGCGUCAAUCGUGGUUGCAGCCCCCCUCUUCAGCCCACCCCUGGGACAGCGACCCACCGUCUUACGACGACUUAGUAGGUCCUGAGUAUUGCUAUCCGUACACUCCUGCUGCUCCUCCUCCUGAGGCUCCGGUUGAAGGAGGAGAAGGAGGAAAAGGAGCCCCCCCUUCCCCCCCCCAGUACCCACUGGACCCGGGCCCCCAGUACCAGCCUCGGGGGUGGGGUGGGGGUCUGGAUGAUUUCCUCACCAGUUCUCCUCUUAGCAUGGACACAAACACAGACACCUAUGUCUACAACUCAGACAAGCUCAACUGA